rnacentral:rRNA from 1 species
GAUGAACGCUGGCGGCGUGCCUAAUACAUGCAAGUCGAGCGAACGGACGAGAAGCUUGCUUCUCUGAUGUUAGCGGCGGACGGGUGAGUAACACGUGGAUAACCUACCUAUAAGACUGGGAUAACUUCGGGAAACCGGAGCUAAUACCGGAUAAUAUUUUGAACCGCAUGGUUCAAAAGUGAAAGACGGUCUUGCUGUCACUUAUAGAUGGAUCCGCGCUGCAUUAGCUAGUUGGUAAGGUAACGGCUUACCAAGGCAACGAUGCAUAGCCGACCUGAGAGGAUGAUCGGCCACACUGGAACUGAAACACGAUCCAGACUCCUACGGGAGGCAGCAGUAGGGAAUCUUCCGCAAUGGGCGAAAGCCUGACGGAGCAACGCCGCGUGAGUGAUGAAAGUCUUCGGAUCGUAAAACUCUGUUAUUAGGGAAGAACAUAUGUGUAAGUAACUGUGCACAUCUUGACGGUACCUAAUCAGAAAGCCACGGCUAACUACGUG